rnacentral:tRNA from 1 species
GGGCCCGUAGCUCAGUCAGGUAGAGCGGCAGGCUCUUAACCUGUUGGUCGGGGGUUCGAAUCCCUCCGGGCCCG